ACAGAGAGUGGCAUCCUGAAAGCAUAGCAGCUCUGAGUACCUUGCCCUACGCAGAUCUUCCAUCUAGUUGUGCCUGAGUCAUUCCCUUUCAACAUAAACUAGUGAGGAAAAAGGAAUCAAGUUAAGUAAAAACUUUCUCUGUGUUCUGUGAGCCUCUCCAGCAAAUUAACUGACCCCAAGGAGGAGGAGAUCAUGGAAACCUCGGCUCUAGAGCUGGCUGGUCAGAAACACAAGCGAUAACCUGAACAUGCCACCUGGAGGGAGGGGACUCUUGUAGAACUAAGUCCUUAACCUGUGGGGUGAGUCACAUCUCCAGGUAAACAGUAUUACAGUUGAGUUAACCGCUUGGCAGCGUGGGGAAAAAAAACACACAUUGGAGUCAACAUCAGAAUUGGAGCUUCAAAGCCAGUAGGUGCGAUGACUCCGAGUGAGGGGUUGACUUCACGGUGUCCUGUUAAUAGGCUGAUGCUCUUCUUUACAGGAUUUAUUAGCAAGAAGUUUUGUGGGUUGAACUGUGUCCUCCCCAUACACAAACACACAUCAAAAGAUAGGAAGAUAUAAAGUCCUAACCCCAGGACCUGUGAAUGUGACCUUAUUUGGAAAUAGAGUCUUUGCAGAUGUAAUCAAGUUAAAAUCAGGUCAUACUGAAGAAGCGAGGGCCCUGAUUCAAUGACGGGUGUCCUCAGGAGAUGGAAAUCUGGGCACAGAGACACACAGAGAGGAGAACACCAUAUAAAGACAGAGACCCAGAUUGGAGUGAUGUGCCCAAAAGCCAAGAAUGCAAAGGAUGGCCAACCAGGCAUGCCAGGAUCCCCACAGAAGCAGAAGCUGGGAAGAGGCAAGGAAGGGUUCCCCCCUCCCACCCCCCCAGCCCGAGCCUUCAGAGGGAGCAUGGUCCUGCCAACACUUUGACCUCAGGCUUCUAACCUUCAGAACUGUAAGAAAAUAAAAUCCUGGGGUUUUGGUUGGUUGUUUGUUUUGUCUUUUUAGGGCUGCACUGCGACACAUGGAGGUUCCCAGGCUAUGGGUCGAAUCGGAGCUAUAGCCGCAGCAACACAGGAUCUGAGCCAUGUCUGCGACCUACACCACAGCUCACGGCAAUGCCAGAUGCUUAACCCACUGAGCAAGGCCUGGGAUCAAACCCUCAUCUUCAUGGAUACUAUUCAGGUUCAUUAACCACUGAGCCACGACAGGAACUCCAAAAUCCUGUUGUUUUAAGCCACCUUGUUUAUGGUGACUGUUUAGGGCAGCCUUGGGAAACUAAUCUAAAUUAACCCUGACCCCUGGCUGUAACAAGCCUGGUUGAGUGUGAAGUUAUGCCCAUGACUGAGGGGCUGGGCACUGGUCAGAUGGAGCUGAAUGUGUCCAAUACUUCCUCCUGCCCAGUCCAGGAAGGCACUGAGAAGGACAGGAGAGACGGCGGUGGCAGAUGGAGCGAGGGAGGCAGAACCGGGUGUGGUAGGCAGCUUGGGCUUAAGAACGGAGCUGGGCCAGUGAGACCUGAACAAACAGCACGUGUUCCGCAUGGUAAUAGGAGCUCUCAUCAUUACUGCAGCCAGAGACCUGAAGGCCUCAUUUUGUCCACACAUCCAGAAUGGAGCCAGGAUAGGUAAACCAAUUUCGUCCUCUCUUUAGAUUUGAACCAUCUGUUGAGUUUGAACCAGCUAAGACCCACUGAGCAACAGCUGGCUCCAACUCUGGACUUUAUGCAAUGCCAACAAUACUGCUGGUGGAUUCAUUAAAGGGUUCAAUCAGCUGAAGCAAAUGCUUAAGAUCGUUGGAGAGAUAAUGACUCAAAAUGUACACCCUGGGAGUUCCUGUCAUGGCGCAGCAGAAAUGAAUCCAACUAGGAACCAUGAGGGUACAGGUUCCAUCCCUGGCCUUGCUCAGUGGGUUAAGGAUCCAGCGUUGCCGUGAGCUGUGGUGUAGGUUGCUGACACGGCUCAGAUCCCGUGUUGCUGUGGCUGUGGUGUAGGCCGGCAGCUACAGCUCUGAUUCGACCCCUGGCCUGGGAACCUCCAUAUGCCGCAGCUUAAGCAUGUCUCCUUUGCCCUCUAGGCCUC
ensembl:lncRNA